GGACAUUUUCCCUUCGUUAAAGGGUGAGAUACUGUUUUAAAACCAUUGAUUUAAGACCCAAAAUAUAUAGUACUAACUUUUUAAAGACAUGUUCGAAUUAAUUACCAAAUUGUACUACUAUUUAAACAUGCAUCAUUAGUGUUUUUAUGUAAAAACAUUGGAGACCUACAGUUGUACAUUAUUACAAACUUUAUAACAUACCAUUGUAGGAAAGACUAUAAAUUGCUUCUGAGAAUCUACGUCUAACAGUCGCUUCCCAAUCACCUAUGUCCAGUAGCCUUCAGAAAUAUCUAUUAGGAGGGAUUCCCUUAUUCACAUCUCUUUUUUAAUCUGUCCUGGCAGCUAAAUAUUCGGGGCUGUGGGUUUGCGCUAAAGCUGUGGUAACAGUGUUAAAGUAUAUGCUCCACGUUCUGUCCCUAACUAUGUGUGUGUUUCGAGACAUUUUUUUGUUUUGUUUUAGUUUUAUAAUGGUUACAGUCGGGGUUUGUACAGAGUUGGUUAAAUCCGCUCUUUUGCUCCCCGUUUACAUGGCUAAUAAUCUCCAAGUUGCUCUAAACGGUGUUGUUUGUGUGAAUAUUGUUUUCCAUAAAGUUAAUAACCCCCCCUAAAACGAAAUAUGAAAUGACCUUUUCCCCUAUCGUUAAAGCGUGCGAUACAUUUUUAAAACCAGUGAUUUAAUUCAAAAUAUUUAGUACCUACAUUUUAACACAUGUUAUAAUUCCAAAUUAUGUGUCCGCUGUGCGGGGAAAAUGAUAAUACAAGCGGAACUACGUAGCUAAUACUGUUGUAACUGGGGAUCCUUAUUGUAGCAACACACUUUUGUAGGGAAGGCAAUCCUGCGCUGCGUUAGCUAAAUUUUCAUGUCAUCGGGUGUAGUUCAUAAAGGUUGAAGAGUGUAUGUUAGGAUGAAGUGUGAAUUCAUGCCAGGAAUAAUAAGUGUGAAGUUUGAUUUCCUCCCUUCUGUAAUAAGCAGCCAAUGAGAUCAAACGUCCUGCCUGUAAAUCCUGGGUAUGCCCCACAUCAUUAAUUAAUAAAGAUGUGUAGAAAACUGUUUAGCCAUAGUUAAAGGCCUUUCAUAAAGAGCCUGUCAUGAUUGCAUGUCCCUUAUGUUUAACACGUAUUGCUUGUUACAGAAUACUACUGUUGUACAUUUAAUAUCCCCUAGCAGAUUUCGUUGCCUUUGCACAAAUUCUGUCAUGUUACUGUGGUCUUUUUAAAAGUCAAUAAAUAUGUGUGUAAAGUGUA